UGGGGAAUCUUGCGCAAUGGGCGAAAGCCUGACGCAGCGACGCCGCGUGAGCGAAGAAGGCCUUCGGGUUGUAAAGCUCUGUUGGUGGGAAAGAAAUCUGACGGUACCCACUGAGGAAGCCCCGGCUAACUCCGUGCCAGCAGCCGCGGUAAGACGGAGGGGGCGAGCGUUGUCCGGAAUUACUGGGCGUAAAGGGCGCGUAGGCGGCUUCUUAAGUCGGUUGUGAAAGCCCCGGGCUCAACCCGGGGAGGCCAGCCGAUACUGGGGGGCUUGAGUGCAGGAGAGGGAAGCGGAACUGCCGGUGUAGCGGUGGAAUGCGUAGAUAUCGGCAGGAACACCCGCGGCGAAGGCGGCUUCCUGGACUGCUACUGACGCUGAGGCGCGAAAGCCAGGGGAGCGAACGGG
rnacentral:rRNA from 1 species